AUCAGGCACAGAGAUACCAAGUGCUUGAGGAAAGGAGAAGCCCCUGGCUACUUCUCCCCUACCCAGAGGCUUGCCUAAGCCUUGGCCCAGGAGUGAAGUCAUGCGGAGCCCAGAAUAGCUUCUGCUGAACUGCGUGGCUGGGUCAGGCUCGGCUCAGGGACACAGAGACCCUCUCCGUCUGUCCCCGUUUCCCUCCUCCUCUCCCUCUCUCUGCCUCUGACCUCCUGCUGCUCCUUUCCCCGCUGCUCUCCCCACAUGCUCAUACUCUGUCCUCAUGAGCUGGUCCCCAGAAGAGUGCAGGGGGCAGGGAGAACCCUCCAGUGACAGACACGCCCUCUGUGCCAGGCUGGUGGAGAAGCCCAACAGAGGGUCUGCAGAGCACCCAGAGUCUGGCCCGGGACCCAUCGUCACCCGGACAGCCUCGGGACCUGCCCUGGCCUUCUGGCAGGCCUUGUUGGCCGGGGACGUGGGCUCUGUCUCCCGCAUCCUCACGGACUCCAGCACCGGCCUGGCUCCGGAUUCCAUCUUUGAUACCAGCGACCCAGAGCGAUGGAGGGAUUUCCGCUUCAACAUCCGUGCUCUGAGACUCUGGUCUCUGACGUACGAGGAGGAGCUGACCACCCCACUGCACGUGGCAGCUAGCCGGGGCCACACGGAAGUCCUGCAGCUGCUGCUGAGGCGGCGGGCAAGGCCUGACAGUGCCCCUGGGGGCCGCACCGCCCUGCACGAAGCCUGUGCUGCGGGCCAUGCGGCCUGCGUCCACGUGCUGCUGGUGGCCGGGGCCGACCCCAACAUCCCCGACCAGGACGGAAAACUCCCCUUGCACCUCUGCCAGGGGGCCAGCACCCUUGAGUGCGCAGAACUGCUCCUGAGGUUUGGGGCGAAAGUGGAUGGUCGGUCUGAGGAGGAGGAGGAGACCCCUUUGCAUGUGGCUGCCCGGCUGGGCCACGUGGAGCUGGCAGGCCUGCUUCUGAGACGGGGGGCCUGCCCUAAUGCCCGCAAUGCCGAAGGCUGGACCCCACUGCUGGCCGCCUGUGACAUCCGCUGCACGUCCCCCACCGAUGCUGAGGCCACCACCGCUCGCUGCGUCCAGCUGUGCCAUCUGUUGCUCUCGGCCGGAGCCGAUGCCGAUGCUGCUGACCAGGAUAAGCGGCGGCCCCUGCACCUGGCCUGUCGCCGCGGCCACGCAGCCGUCGUGGAGCUGCUCCUGUCCUGCGGCGUCAGCGCCAACACCAUGGACUAUGGGGGCCACACAGCCCUUCACUGUGCUCUGCAGGGCCCACCUGCGGCCCUGGCCCAGAGCCCAGAGCACACAGUGCGAGCCCUGCUCAACCAUGGUGCUGUCCGCGUCUGGCCUGGGGCCCUCCCCAAGAUGCAGCCUCUAACACUUGAGCACGAGCCAGUUCUUCAUCUUGCAUUCAUCCAGUAAGCAAAGCCCAACAGGGGGCAAAGGCAAGGAUAUAAACCAGCAGGAGGUGUGUGUGUGUGUGUGUGUGUGUGUGUGUGUGUGUGCAUACAUGUGCUCACACCCGAAUAUACAUGUGGGUGCAUACAUACAUAUACAUGCGAAUGUUCACACACGUGUGUGCACGUGUGAUGAUGAUGGACUGAGGGCACACAUGCAUAUACAUGCGAGUGUGCAUGCACACAUGUGUGAUGGUGGGCUGAGUGCAUACGUGCAUAUAGACACAUUUGCAUACAUGUUUACGUGUGUGUGCACAUGUGUGAUGAAGGUGGACGGAGGGCAGGAGGUCAGAUUAUCAUGCAUCUGAAAAGACAGGAGCCAGGACUGAUGUGGGUGGGCAUCAGAGAAUUGUUUCUUCAUCAGGCGAGCGAGCUGAUGAAAGAAGCGUGCAGGCAGCUCAGCCUGGCAGUGGGAUCUGUUCAGUGAGACACUCUGUGCAUGGGAGAGGCUUCCAGAGCAGAGCCAUGAGCCUGGGUCAUGAGGUUCAAACCCUCCUGAACUUUUGCAGACAGAUAUGGUCCUUGUUUUGGGGAGCUUAGCAGGACAUGCAUCACCCAGACCAGCAGCUGCUAUCCUGGCACCAGAGAGAAAACCUUUCACUGUCAAUUUCCUGCCUGUAUCUUAUUUUGUUAACAUAAAAUACUCCCCAGUAGGUUCAACCUGGAGAUCUGUGCUACUUAGGCCCUGGCAGGGGGCCCUGUCUCAUACCUCCUUGUAUCUAGAGGGGGCCAUAUACUGUCACAGAGGAUUCUGGGACUGGGGUGGGGACCCCUGUUCUCUGAGGAGCUGGGUCAGAAUGGAUACAGGGUAGCAGGCUGUGAGCAGGCCCCCUACCCCAUUUCGGGCUUGAACUGUCCAGCCCUACCAGCUCCUGGACACUCCUCUCCUGCCUUUCCCCUUCACUCACAAACCUAGAAGCAUCUAUCUAGAUUCCUAAGCAAGACCAAAUAAUUAAACAGCCCGAGAGUUCGGCAGAUUGGUCUCCCCUUUGGGAAAAUACAAGAAAAUCAACAAUUAACACUAAUUAAUCUCCUAUUAACACCAGAUAAUUAGGAGACAAGCAAUCCCCCUGUAAUCUGACGGUGGCUCUGACAGCUAAUGAUUUCCCCUUCAGGGAGGGGUGGGAGGAGGAGGCGGAGCAGCAGACAGAUUUCCUGAGACCUGGUUACCCAUUCCCCCAGCCCUGAUCUGCCCUGCCUUAGGGACCAAAGGGGCUGGCACAACCAAGUGCCCCAUUCCUCCCUUCAUUUGAGUGCCGUAUCCCAGGUGAUUGAAAAGUUCAGGAAGGAGUCUACCUCCGUCUCCUACAAUCUGCAACUGCUCCACACUUGGCUGAGGUGCCUAUGUCCCUGCAAGGAGUCAUCUAUGAUCACUGCCAGCCUCAGCCAGCUCUCCAGGAGCCACUGGGUGCUCAGGAAACCUGGAGUGAGGGUCUGGCUUUGAUGCUUGUUCCUGUGACUAAUAGGCAAGUCACUGGAACUCUUUGAAUGCAUGUUCCUUGCAUGUAAUACAGUCUCGGCCUACCAGUCUCUACCUAGUGAUAAAAAGCUCUAGGAGCCCCGUGGGUAACAGUAGGAACAAGCACAGCCCUGAGCACCACCCGACAGUAUUCUAUGGUGUGUCAGCUGCUUCAUGGAUGCCUUCAGUUCUCCCAACAAACUCUGAUGUAAGUGGCUGACCAAGAGUGCAGGCUCUGGAACCUGGCACCCUACCCAUGUGACCCUUGGCAAGUUGCUUAAUUUCUCUGGGCCUCAGUUUUCUCAUCCAUAAAACAGGGACCGAAGAGUGUGCCUGCUUCAUAGGGUUAGUAUGAGAACUGAGCUCAUAUGUAUAAAGCCCAUUAGACAGGGCCUAACGUGGAGUUAGUGCUCAACACCUGUUAGCUCCUGGUUUUCUUGGUUAAAUAAUGUGUGGGAAGGCUGCUGGGCAUUAUGCCAAUGUAAGGAGAGAGAGAUGCAGGUUGAACAGCCUCAGGGGACUUCCUGGAGGGGCUAGGACUGGGGAUGGGCAGGGCUUGGAGAUGGAGGAGGAAGGCACAGGUAUUUCAGGCAGAGAGCCGUGGCAGGAAUCAGCAUGGCCUAGAAGGCACAGAGAGACCCCCGCCUGAACGGCAGACAGGGGUAGCAGGGAAGAGCAGGACAAUCAGAUGGGACCAGCCUGUUCUUUCCUAGAUCUAAGGAGGAGGAGUAAGUCAGAGACCCACUCUGGGCAGACGGGAUGGGGCAGCUCUAGUGAGCACUGCUGAGAUGCAGGUCAAGAGGCAGAGGGCUCCAGGUGUGUGAGAUACUUUCUCCAGGGGCCCCUGCUCCCACUACUCAGCAGCACCCAGUGCAUGCAGCACCCUAGCCUGCCAGGUAGGGGCGUCUCCUAGUAGGCAGUGGUUUUAAAGCCCCUAAUGUUGCAUGCAAGUGUGUGUGCGGGGAGAGGAGUGUCAUGUAUAGGAAUGCUGCCGGAGAGAUAGUACUUAGCUGUUUUCAGAUUUUACAAAGGGUUUGUGGCUACUGCCUAUAGCUUGAGACACAGUAAGAGAUGGAAUGGAUAAGCACAAAUCUGCUUCUAGCUAGUACAUGCAGACUCGGGUGAGUAUGAUGGCAACUGUGUGUGUCCAGGCCGGGUGUGGCUGUCUUUCUUUCCACGUGGACAGUCUCUGGCAUGGGCUGCUCUCCCAGCAUGGCUCACCCUACACUGCACCAGGUCAUCUCCUCAGAGAGGCUUUCCUUGACCACUCAUCUAGGACAGUACCCUCCCGACACUGAAGUCCCCAAAUCUACUUAUUUUUCAUUGUAACAGCUUAUCUGUAAGUGGUUAUUUAUGUGUUGAUUGUUUUUUCCCACUGAAAUAGAAGUUCCCAGCUGACAAAGACCUAUCAUCCCCAUUGCUGGGUCCCUGGUGUUUGGCCCAUAGUGGCCCUCAGUAAACAUUUACUAAAUGAUGAAAUGAAAGAAUGAGUCUGGCUCCACCUUGAUCCCACCACCACUCUUUCAUCAGGCCUCUGCUGGCCUCAUCCCUUCUCUCUGAAUCCCCGCCCUAAUGACCUCAUUUUAACUUGAUCACAACGGCAAAGAUCCUAUUUCUAAAUAGGUCAUAUUUAUAUGUACUGGGGAUUAGAACUUCAAUGUAUUUUUGCAGAGGGGACACAAUUCACUGCACGGCAGCUGUUCUGUCAAUGUCUGGUCACCUUGUGUGGACUGGCUAAGCACCUGCAGUGGGUGGUAACCCCAGAAACACUGACACCUCUCUGCCUUCUCCAGGUACUGGAGCGCUGGUGCACAUCUCCGAGGACUAUCGAGGUCCUGAUGAACACCUACAGUAUCAUGCAGCUUCCUGAGGAGGCCAUGGCCCUGGUGCCUCUUGAAACUCUGCAGAAGCACCACCGUUUCUAUUCCUCCCUCUUCGCCUU